rnacentral:rRNA from 1 species
AACGAACGCUGGCGGCAUGCCUAACACAUGCAAGUCGAACGAAACCUUCGGGUCUAGUGGCGCCCGGGUGCGUAACGCGUGGGAACCUGCCCUUAGGUUCGGAAUAACUCCCCGAAAGGGGUGCUAAUACCGGAUAAUGUCUUCGGACCAAAGAUUUAUCGCCUUUGGAUGGGCCCUCGUUGGAUUAGCUAGUUGGUAGGGUAAAAGCCUACCAAGGCGACGAUCCAUAGCUGGUCUGAGAGGAUGAUCAGCCACACUGGGACUGAGACACGGCCCAGACUCCUACGGGAGGCAGCAGUGGGGAAUAUUGGACAAUGGGCGAAAGGCUGAUCCAGCAAGGCCGGGUAAGUGAUGAAGGCCUUAGGGUUGUAAAGCUCUUUUACCCGGGAUGAUAAUGACAGUACCGGGAGAAUAAGCUCCGGCUAACUCCGUG